rnacentral:misc_RNA from 1 species
UCCGGUUUGUCACCGGCAGUCUCAUUAGAGUGCCCUUUCGUAGCAACUAAUGACAAGGGUUGCGCUCGUUGCGGGACUUAACCCAACAUCUCACGGCACGAGCUGACGACAGCCAUGCAGCACCUGUGUUACGGCUCUCUUUCGGACACCGCGGUGUCUCCACCGCGUUCCGUACAUGUCAAGGGUAGGUAAGGUUUUUCGCGUUGCAUCGAAUUAAUCCACAUAAUCCACCGCUUGUGCGGGUCCCCGUCAAUUCCUUUGAGUUUUAGCCUUGCGGCCGUACUCCCCAGGCGGGGCACUUAAUGCGUUAGCGCCGGCACGGGAGGAGUCGACACCUCCCACACCUAGUGCCCAUCGUUUACGGCGUGGACUAC